rnacentral:tRNA from 1 species
GAGGGUAUAGCUCAGUGGUAGAGCAUGUGCUUAGCAUGCAUGAGGUCCUGGGUUCAAUCCCCAGUGCCUCCA